CUUCCUCAAGAGGACGGGCUUGACGCUUAUGUUAAUUUCCAAUCACAGUUUAAUGCAUACAUAAAGGCGAAUCAGAUGUUUGCAGAUGUGAUUGAAGAAAAUUAUCAAGAAGGCGAUGUUUGGUGCCACGAUUACCAUCUGUUGUUUCUUCUGAGAUUAUUAAAAGAAAAGAGACCAAAUAUGAGAGUUGGUUGGUUUCUACACACUCCGUUUCCAUCCUCUGAGACAUAUAGGAUAAUGUCGUCUCGAUCACACCUGCUAACAGCCGUUCUUGUAGCUGAUUUAGUCGGGUAAUUACCCCACGUUUUGUAUACAAAAAUACUAUAUUAUUGUGGCUAUUAUAACUCAAGAGGUGUUAUUUUCUUUGUUUUCAUACUUAUGAUUACGCGAGGAAUUUUGUGAGCGCGUGCACACAUAUUCUCGGGCUUCAGGGGACCCUUGUAGGAGUGCAAGAUCAAGGGAGAGUUACUCGUAUAGCUGCGUAUCCCAUUGGGAUAGAUUCUCAGAGAUUUGUGCAAACCGUUCAACUCCUAGAUGUCCAGAAUCCUAUAAAAGAACUUGAGGGGAGAUUUGGCGGUAAAAAGGUGAGUUAAUAGAACCCUCUUCUACAUGUGAUUUAAUAAAAAGGUUGCAGAAACUGACGUGAUUUAGGGAAUACCCAAAAAGUUGUUGGCAUUUGAUAAGUUUCUUUAAGACAAUUCAAAUUGGUGUGAUAAAGUUGUUCUAGUGCAGAUUGCUAUGCCAACAAGAACAGAAGUCUCUAUGUGUAUGUUUAACCAUUUUCUUUCUUUCCUCAUUCUACUGUUUAUGAUUUCUCUCUUCCUAAUGAACAUUUUGAUUUCUUGACAGACAAAAAGCUUGCACGUCAUGUUCAUGAAAUUGUUGGGCAGAUCAGUGGAAGAUUUGGAACGCCUACACUGGUGCCGGUUCAUUUUUUGGUGUGUCUCUUUGAUCGACCUUUUCUAUUUUCAUGUUUUCUUUGUGAAAUGACUCACUUUCUUGUGCAUUUUUGCAGGAUCAAUUGCUUGACUUUAAUACGUUAUGUACACUAUACACUGUGGCUUGUAUAUUAUUUUGAUAAUUCCACUAUUAUUUUAUUUAAUAAUUAAUAUAAUGCUCACUAAAAUACAAUGUGAUUAGAUGUGGCACUCAUCACAUCUGUAAUAGACGGAAUGAAUCUUGUAAGCUACGAAUUUGUGGCCUGCCAAGCUUCAAAGAAAGGAGUUUUAGUUUUAAGUGAGUUUGUAGGAGCAACACAGUCUCUUGGUGCAGGGGCGAUUUUGGUAAAUCCAUGGAAUAUCACAGACGUAGCUUCUUCGAUUCUGUAUGUGCUCGAUAUGCCUUCUGAAGAGAAGGAAAAACGACACAAUCAUAACUUCAUGCAUGUCAUUACUCAUACAUGUCAAAAAUGGCCUGAAACUUUUCUUAGGUUUGUGUUCUUUAAUUUGUGUUUACUUCUUUAUAUUUUUCUAGUACUAGUUUUUUUCCAUAUAUAGUGAACUUGAUGAUACAGUUGCGGAAGCUCAGCUGAGAACUAAACAGAUUCCGCCUCAGCUUCAAACUGAACUUGCAGUUAACCGCUAUCGGUGUUCCAGUAACCGUAUGUUCAUAUUGGUAUUCUGUCCUAUUUUUUUAUCAUAUUCAGCUAGGUUUAAAGAAGGGGUAAAUGGGUAAUUUUACUUUAUAGGGGUUCAAUGAAACUUUAACCAAACCGGUGAAUGCUGAGGGAAUGGCUGAUCAAGUUAAAGAAAAUGGAACUUAAUCUGCACCUUGAGCUAGAACAACCUUUAAAGAGGCUUUGAGCUAGAACAACCUUUAAAGAGGCUUUGAGCUAGAACAACCUUUAAAGAGGCUUUGUGAUGAUCCAACAUCAACGGUUGUUAUUAUAAGUGGGAGCCAACGUUGCAUACUCGAAAAGAACUUUGAAGAUUAUAAUGUAUGGCUUGCAGUCGAACAUGGUGUGUUCAUAAGAACAGCUGACAAGAAUGGGUCACAAAACUUGACGAAUAAUAUACAUACAGAUUGGAUCGCGAGCGUGAAGGUUAGUAACUGGUCAAACGGGUCAGAUGACCCAUUAUUUUCUUGAAAUUUUCCAACUUGUUAUUGAAACUUGAUGUUGGUUGCAACAUGUUUUCGAGUAUUUCACUACGUGAACUCCAUGGUCUUACUGUGAGCUCCACGAGACGUCAAUUGUUUGGAGUUAUAAGUGUUCAGAUUUGUUGAAUCAUUUGAGGACUGGACCCAUAUCAAAUGCUUCAGUAGACAUUGUUCAAGGCGAGCGGUCCGUUGAGAUUCGAGUCAAUGGUGUCUCAAAGGGUGUAGGAAUACAUGACAUUUUAGGUCAAGUUAUACGCGACAUAGAUAUGAAGCUUCUAAUCGACUAUGUGCUAUGUGUCGGUCAUUUCUUUCCAAAGGCUAUGGCUGUAGGAUGUUAACGUUCACAAGAACUAAUUCCCUUGAAGACUCGCUCAAUAUUGUUAGAAGAAGGACGUUGAAGCCGGGAGAAUAGGUCUACAAUGGUUGUGAAGGAAUAUUCAAAAGUAUUCCGAGAUUAUAGGAUAGUUUGUUUGUUCUUGUAACUAUAAAUAGGAGUGUCGGAUCAUAGGAACAUACUCACUUUCGAACUAUCUUACUCGCACACUCUCGAUUUUAGCAGCAAACACACUUUAACACUCACAAUUCACAGUCAUUGUAACACUUAGAUUCGAUUCGAGCAUUAUCCUGCAACUGUAUCCUGGUUAUUCAAAGCAAUAAGAAGAACAAGGCAGCCGACAAUUGUCAGCUCCCGAGGUUUUAUGCCGGCGAUCUAGAUUGAUCAAGGGCUUUCCUCGUACAUCC